GUUUCCAGCCAUACCAGCCUGAAGGCGCCAGAUCCCAUCUGAUUUUGAAGGCUAAGUAGAGUUGGCUUUGGGUGGGACUUGGAUGGAGACUGCCCAAGUGAUGAGGAUG
rnacentral:rRNA from 1 species